rnacentral:rRNA from 1 species
AUGAACGCUGGCGGCGUGCCUAAUACCUGCAAGUCGAGCGAACGGACGAGAAGCUUGCUUCUCUGAUGUUAGCGGCGGACGGGUGAGUAACACGUGGAUAACCUACCUAUAAGACUGGGAUAACUUCGGGAAACCGGAGCUAAUACCGGAUAAUAUUUUGAACCGCAUGGUUCAAAAGUGAAAGACGGUCUUGCUGUCACUUAUAGAUGGAUCCGCGCUGCAUUAGCUAGUUGGUAAGGUAACGGCUUACCAAGGCAACGAUGCAUAGCCGACCUGAGAGGGUGAUCGGCCACACUGGAACUGAGACACGGUCCAGACUCCUACGGGAGGCAGCAGUAGGGAAUCUUCCGCAAAGGGCGAAAGCCUGACGGAGCAACGCCGCGUGAGUGACGAAGGUCUUCGGAUCGUAAAACUCUGUUAUUAGGGAAGAACAUAUGUGUAAGUAACUGUGCACAUCUUGACGGUACCUAAUCAGAAAGCCACGGCUAACUACGUG